rnacentral:lncRNA from 1 species
CUCAAAUGCAGGCUACUUGCCCUUCCAGAUGGUCUCAGAUACAGAUUUAACCCUUACAGAGCUCUGGAAGGAACAAGACAACAGACUUUCCCAUACGGGGUUCACUGAGAAAUCCUGGGCCAGUGUCUGUCUAAGGAGACUGAGAUCCGCCUGUGUACAGAAGAGAGACUGUGAAGGCUGUGUAGAGGAGCUGAGCCUUCAUUGACCAACUUGAGUUACAACCAGCCCUCGGAAUGAAUUGAGCUUGUCUUGACCUUAGUCAGUCACAGGGCUUUUGGGGAGUCUCAGCUGAGUGCCUGAGAAUCAUUGCGGUUUCUAAGCAGUCUGCACUGCAUAAUCUUACACUCUUCUCUCCACCUAUCAGCCCUACCUCCGUGGCGUCUCAUCUUCACAUCCAGAGUCUUGACAAAGGCGUUACAAAGUCCGGUUGUUGGGGAAAGUCUUGUGAAGAGCAGCUCUCAGGCUCUUAGCGUCUCCUGCUCUCCUUGGGCUAUCACUGGUGCUGUUCUGCGGUGCAGCCGCCUCUGCUCAGUGAGUCCACACCGCUCCUGGCACCACCUGUGCUGUGGUCCGGAAGGUAAUCCCGGCACCAGUCCAGGGGACACGGGAGCUGUGCUCGCCGGCCGAGCGAAUCGCCUUUCUGUGGUGCUUGUCUGCUAGCACCCGAAGAGCACGUAUCUCGGGUGCUUUGUUCAAUUCCAUGUUCGACUAUG